ACAGUUCACUAUAAACUUUAUGAUUUUUUCUGCAAGAUUUAUACCUCAGAUACUUGUUAAUCUUUUCUAUUAUCAUAUUAUGAUAUUGUUAACAAUAUCAAUUGUUUUAUAUGUUAUAUAUAUAUUCUAUUGAACACUUUAAAGUUAAUCUAAAGUUGUUUAAAUACAACAGUUUACAAUUAUUAAUCAGCAGAUUUUGACUUUAAUGAGCAUCAUGACAGCUGUCAACAGUGCAGCAGGAACUAUUUAGCUUUCUAAUGCAUCUAAGUUCACCACCAGUUUUAAUGUGGUUUAAUUGCUUUUAUUAAAUUUACUUAUUUAUCCCCCCCCCUUUUUUCCCCCAAGUUCUUUCGUUUCAUAUAUCCAAUUAACUUAUAAUUAAUAAUAACUGAAACUAUAAGGUCUGCUUCAUGUCUUGACCAUUUUCUUGAUAUAGCCUCAGAAGAAUGACUUGGAUUAAUAAUAAUGAUUGUUCCAACUCAUUGUGAGUCAUCAAUGCAACCAGUAUUUGUAUGACGGCAGAUUUAUUUUGUUAAUUCAUGGUAUGAGGCUUGUGUCCUUUUCUGUUGAUAAGAAAUUCAUUUCCAUACAAUGAUUAGUCUUUCUAAAAUUGAGAAUGGGGAAAUGUGUCAAAGUGACAACACCCUGACCAAAAUGCAGAAAACUGUCAUUCUUUUGUAAUCCUCCCCCAAAUACAGACCAUCAUAGAUAUUCUUAUGGAAUAGCUAGAUCAGUGAUACAUUCAUUGUUCUUACUUUCUGUUCACUUUUUGUUUUAGAUAUAUUGUUAUUUGCUUAUACUGUAUUUUCUUGUUAAGUUUAUUUUCUCUCUCAUUUUUUAUAUGAAGAACUCUUUACAUCAAGCACAAUUACAAUAAAAUAUGUUACUUCUUUCAGUCUUUUUAUUUUUGUUCUUGUUUUAUGUUGAUAGUAUAGAACUAAAAUGUAUUGUUACUUUGAUAGUA
rnacentral:lncRNA from 1 species